GACGAACGCUGGCGGCGUGCUUAACACAUGCAAGUCGAACGGACAGGCCAUGAUUUUGCGGGGUGCUCGAGUGGCGAACGGGUGAGUAACACGUGAGUAACCUGCCCUUGACUUUGGGAUAACUUCAGGAAACUGGGGCUAAUACCGGAUAGGAGCUCCUGCUGCAUGGUGGGGGUUGGAAAGAUUCGGCGGUUGGGGAUGGACUCGCGGGUUAUCAGCUUGUUGGUGGGGUAGUUGCAUACCAAGGCUUUGACGGGUAGCCGGCCUGAGAGGGUGACCGGCCACAUGGGGACUGAGAUACGGCCCAGACUCCUACGGGAGGCAGCAGGGGGGAAUAUUGCGCAAUGGGCGGAAGCCUGAGGCAGCAACGCCGCGUGCGGGAUGACGGCCUUCGGGUUGUAAACCGCUUUCGCCUGUGACGAAGCGUGAGUGACGGUAAUGGGUAAAGAAGCACCGGCUAACUACGUG
rnacentral:rRNA from 1 species